rnacentral:rRNA from 1 species
AGCAAUUAUACCGUGAAACUGCGAAUGGCUCAUUAAAUCAGUUAUCGUUUAUUUGAUAGUACCUUACUACUUGGAUAACCGUGGUAAUUCUAGAGCUAAUACAUGCUGAAAACCCUGACUUCGGAAAGGGUGUAUUUAUUAGAUAAAAAACCAAUGCCCUUUGGGCUCUUUGGUGAUUCAUGAUAACUUAACGGAUCGCAUGGCCUUGCGCCGGCGACGGUUCAUUCAAAUUUCUGCCCUAUCAACUUUCGAUGGUAAGGUAUUGGCUUACCAUGGUUUCAACGGGUAACGGGGAAUUAGGGUUCGAUUCCGGAGAGGGAGCCUGAGAAACGGCUACCACAUCCAAGGAAGGCAGCAGGCGCGCAAAUUACCCAAUCCCGACACGGGGAGGUAGUGACAAUAAAUACUGAUACAGGGCUCUUUUGGGUCUUGUAAUCGGAAUGAGUACAAUUUAAACCUCUUAACGAGGAACAAUUGGAGGGCAAGUCUGGUGCCAGCAGCCGCGGUAAUUCCAGCUCCAAUAGCGUAUAUUAAAGUUGUUGCAGUUAAAAAGCUCGUAGUUGAAUCUUGGGCCUGGCUGGCCGGUCCGCCUCACCGCGUGUACUGGUCUGGCCGGGCCUUUCCUUCUGGAGAACCUCAUGCCCUUCAGUGGGUGUGUUGGGGAACCAGGACUUUUACUUUGAAAAAAUUAGAGUGUUCAAAGCAGGCCUUUGCUCGAAUACGUUAGCAUGGAAUAAUAGAAUAGGACGUGCGGUCCUAUUUUGUUGGUUU